rnacentral:tRNA from 1 species
AAUUUUUUAAGUUAAGUUUAAGACUAUUUGUUUUCAAAACAAAAAGUAAUAGUGUUUGUUAAAAAUUG